CCUGCAACCUUCUCAUCCAGCAGGCCUCUAAUUAUCUCAGCCCAGAAGACCUCUUGAGAAGUGAGGUGGAAGAAAGUCAGAGGAAACUGCAGGUCGUUGUGGACACCUUGAACUUCUUCAAGCAGGUGUUUCAGGACCGAAGGGAGAAUCUCCAUACUUACUUUAAAGAGAACCAGAAAGUGAGGGAGUGGGAUUUCCCAUCUGCUUUGGUCUUUGUGCAUGUGGACGGCUUCCUGGGACGACUACUCAUGGUGCAGGAUCUUCUGAACACAACCUUGGACUUCCACAAACUGGGAAAGCUUGAAUUUAGUGGCACCAGAGGGAAAGCCCUGAGUCAGCAGAUUCAGCAAAUGUAGGAGGAAUUUCAAGAGAUGUACAGGGUCUUCUCAGAAUCUUCUUAUGACUGCUUGGACCCCCAAAGCACGGAAUUUGAAAAUGAUGUUUCUGAAUUUAACCAGAGAGUAGAAGAUCUCGACCAAAGACUGGGGACUAUCUUUAUUCAAGCCUUUGAUGAUGUGCCCAGUUUGGAGCAUGCCUUUAAGCUCAUAGACAUAGCAGGAAAGCUCCUUGAAAGACCACCAGUAGCACAGGAUGUACCUGAUAAAUACCUGGUGCUCAUCCAAAUGUUCAACAAAGACCUGGAUGCAGUGAGAAUAAUCUACAAUCUACAGUCAGCGUGUCCAGGAGGAGGCAGAAUUCGGUAUGCUUGAUGCCAGGGGAUGGGGUGUGGAAGGGGAGGUUCCAUUCCAGGGAAGGGUGCGCUUCACUCCUAUUGUAUUUAUUGACUGUUCACUGUGUAUCCAUGACAUUUCCAAGAAAAGCAAGCACAGCCUUCUUAUCUGAAGUUCCAGACCCUCUUGGGUGAUUUUAGAGUGCACUGAACUGCACAUUUCCCU